UGAGGAAUAUUGCUCAAUGGCCGCAAGGCUGAAGCAGCAACGCCGCGUGAGGGAUGAAGGAUCUAUGGUCUGUAAACCUCUGUAGAGAAGGAAAAAUAACCCAUUAUAUGGGCUUGAUAGUACUUCUAGAGUAAGCCCCGGCUAACUACGUGCCAGCAGCCGCGGUAAUACGUAGGGGGCGAGCGUUGUCCGGAAUCACUGGGUGUAAAGGGUGCUCAGGCGGGUCGAUAAGUCAGAGGUGAAAUUUCACAGCUUAACUGUGAAUGUGCUUUUGAUACUGUCGGUCUAGAGUUCAGAAGAGGGCAAUGGAAUUCUUGGUGUAGCGGUGAAAUGCGUAGAUAUCAAGAAGAACACCAGUUGCGAAGGCGGUUGCCUGGUCUGUAACUGACGCUCAAGCACGAAAGCGUGGGGAUCAAACA
rnacentral:rRNA from 1 species